UCCCAGGAAAAGGAGAAACCAUGAAGAUAGGUAGGUCGAGAGAAAGGUUAUAGCCGCUCACGCUCUAAACUUCCGGUAGUGGAGCGAAGGCAUCAUCCGUUGGCCACGAACAGAACGGCAUAAAAAGAAGGAACCCUUUUGGGAUCAUCAGAUCAAAGACCUUUUUCCACACUAGAAUCUCAUUUCUCCGUGUGUGAAUUGACUCAUCUGAAUCAGUGAAGAAUCCCCAGAAGUUGCUAAUUUCGAUCCUACAGUUCAAGUGGCAGUGCCUCAGUCUCCCCGCCCCCAUUUCUGAUCCAGAUACUAUUUUAAUUUUUUUUAAGCACUUCUUUCUGUUUUUAUCUAAUUUUAUUUUGAUGUUAUUUUUGUUUAUGUUUAAUUUAUAUUUUCAUUGUGUGGACUCACUUAUUUUUUAUUGUAAGUUCUAUCUUGCUUUUGCAAAAAGAAAUUUUGCUGCUGCUUCUUCUUCUUCUUGUUAAAGAGUUGAACAUUUGGACAUUAUAACCACCAGUUACUUGUGCUUUGCAGAUUUUAACCACCAAUUAGUAAAUUCCUUAUUGCUUCAUC